rnacentral:lncRNA from 1 species
UCGACGAUUUUGCAUUAAAGAUGCAUAAAAUAUGCUUGUGCAAUACUUGUGAAGUUGCUAAUAUGCUGUAUUACUUCUCAACAGAGGCAAGCUCAUAAAGACAUGGCCUUGGAAAAGAAUAAACUGACGUCUCGUUUCCAUUUAUUAGCAAUAUACAAAAAAGGGCAGCCUAGUACGCAAAUCUAUUCUGCAUUCACAGAAAGUCCUGGAAAGGACCGCAUACCAAGGGGUGUAACAUAGACAACCUAUCCUAAUAACAAGCAUUAGUUGCCUUCCAAAUUAAACCUGCGACCUAUAGGUCACAUG